rnacentral:rRNA from 1 species
GACGAACGCUGGCGGCGUGCUUAACACAUGCAAGUCGAACGGAAAGGCCUGCUUUCCCUUGUGGAUUGCGGGUACUCGAGUGGCGAACGGGUGAGUAACACGUGAGUGAUCUGCCCCCAACUUGGGUAUAAGCCUGGGAAACUGGGUCUAAUUCCCGAUAGGACUGCAGGGUGGUGCCUGUGGUGGAAAACGAUUUUCUAGUGGUUGGGGAUGAGCUCGCGGCCUAUCAGCUUGUUGGUGGGGGAAUGGCCUACCAAGGCGGCGACGGGUAGCCGGCCUGAGAGGGUGGACGGCCACAUUGGGACUGAGAUACGGCCCAGACUCCUACGGGAGGCAGCAGUGGGGAAUAUUGCACAAUGGGCGGAAGCCUGAUGCAGCGACGCCGCGGGGGGGAUGACGGCCUUCGGGUUGUAAACUCCUUUCGACCGCGAGGAAGCCACCUGGUUGGAAGGGUGGUGACGGUAGUGGGAGAAGAAGCACCGGCUAACUACGUG